GAUGAACGCUAGCGACAGGCUUAACACAUGCAAGUCGAGGGGCAGCAUGAGGUAGCAAUACCUUGAUGGCGACCGGCGCACGGGUGAGUAACGCGUAUGCAACCUGCCCGAUACCGGGGUAUAGCCCAUGGAAACGUGGAUUAACACCCCAUAGUACUUUUAUCCUGCAUGGGAUGUGAGUUAAAUGUUCAAGGUAUCGGAUGGGCAUGCGUCCUAUUAGUUAGUUGGCGGGGUAACAGCCCACCAAGACGAUGAUAGGUAUGGGUUCUGGGAGGAAGGUCCCCCACAUUGGAACUGAGACACGGUCCAAACUCCUACGGGAAGCAGCAGUGAGGAAUAUUGGUCAAUGGACGUAAGUCUGAACCAGCCAAGUCGCGUGAGGGAAGACUGCCCUAUGGGUUGUAAACCUCUUUUAUAAGGGAAGAAUAAGUUCUACGUGUAGAAUGAUGCCUGUACCUUAUGAAUAAGCAUCGGCUAACUCCGUGCCAGCCGCCGCAGUAA
rnacentral:rRNA from 1 species